rnacentral:SRP_RNA from 1 species
UCGUGCUAGAUGGGGAGCUAGCGGUGCCCUGCACCCGCAAUCCGCUACAGCGGGAUCGAAUCCCUCCCCGAGGAUUGGCGCGGCUUUCGUGUCAGAACCGAUAGUGUCACGACGUGGGUCUUGUGCGGCGUGAACCUGUGAACCGGGUCAGGACCGGGAGGUAGCAGCCCUAAGCAGUCAUUCACGGGCGCCACGAGGUCGCCUGCGUCGGACUAUCGGUAAUCGGCGAAAGCCUGUAGUGAUUCGACGGGAGGUGCACGA